UACGUAGGUGGCGAGCGUUGUCCGGAAUUACUGGGUGUAAAGGGCGCGUAGGCGGGGAUGCAAGUCAGAUGUGAAAUACCGGGGCUUAACUCCGGGGGUGCAUCUGAAACUGUGUUUCUUGAGUGCCGGAGAGGGAAGCGGAAUUUCCAGUGUAGCGGUGAAAUGCGUAGAUAUUGGGAGGAACACCGGUGGCGAAGGCGGCUUUCUGGACGGUAACUGACGCUGAGGCGCGAAAGCGUGGGGAGCAAACAGG
rnacentral:rRNA from 1 species